UUAGGUUACGAUUAUUCAAUCAUUUGUUUGAUCUGUUUCAUCCCGAGAAGAAGCACAAUUACAGAGUUUACGUUGUUCUACAUCAUUUGUUUGAUUCACGGGAUUAAACUAGAGCUUCGUCAAACCUAUUUUCUUGCAAAUUUUUGAUUUUGAGAAGAUUUUUGCAGAUCUGAUAAGAUGAAAUCAAUAAUCUAGAUAAGCUUUUGUUGUUUUUGUUUUUUUCCUUUUUGGUUUGUGAUUUUGGUUUUUUUAACGUUCGAUCUACUGAUUAUUUUUUUUUAAUCCGUUGAUACUGAGAAGAGAAAGCUUAAACAACAUCGUUUUAGAAGAAGAAAUACAAAUCUAGAUACGAAUUUGUUGUUGUUUAAGCUUAUUGAUUUCGAUUUUAUGAUUUUGGUUUUUUCUUAUUUUUGUUUUGAUUUGGAAUUUGUUGAUACGAAGAAGAGGAAGAAGAAACCAGAUUAUUUCAGAAUAACAACAACAAAACUAGUUUCGAAUUUGUGGAUACUAAGAAGAGGAAGAAGAAACCACAUUAUUUCAUAAGAACAAACCUAGGUUGUCGUUAACUUUUACAGAAGGGACUUGAAGAGUGCAGCUCUUGCAAGGUUAAUUGUUGUGCACAUGCUUUCAAGGUAUUCAAGUAUGGUGUUUUAAGAAUAGGAACAUGCAGACUUCCAAGAAAUCUACCAAGGUUUAAAGAUGCAGUUGAUCUUCGUUUUUGUUAUACAACCAUUACACGUCUUUUUAGCUAACUUUUGCAUUAAUUUGUUAUUGCUUUUAAGAGCACGAACAAGUAAUUAGAUUUGUGACCCAAAUUAAAAUUUUUGUUCA